AGAGUUUGAUUAUGGCUCAGAACGAACGCUGGCGGCAGGCUUAACACAUGCAAGUCGGGCGCCCCGCAAGGGGAGCGGCAGACGGGUGAGUAACGCGUGGGAACCUACCUGAAGGUACGGAACAACUCCGGGAAACUGGAGCUAAUACCGUAUGUGCCCGAAAGGGGAAAGAUUUAUCGCCUUCAGAUGGGCCCGCGUCAGAUUAGCUAGUUGGUGGGGUAAUGGCCCACCAAGGCGACGAUCUGUAGCUGGUCUGAGAGGAUGAUCAGCCACACUGGGACUGAGACACGGCCCAGACUCCUACGGGAGGCAGCAGUGGGGAAUAUUGCACAAUGGGCGCAAGCCUGAUCCAGCCAUGCCGCGUGAGUGACGAAGGUCUUCGGAUUGUAAAACUCUUUUGGCGGGGACGAUAAUGACGGUACCUGAAGAAGAAGCCCCGGCUAACUUCGUGCCGGCAGCCGCGGUAAUACGAAGGGGGCUAGCGUUGCUCGGAAUCACUGGGCGUAAAGCGCACGUAGGCGGCUUUCUAAGUCAGAGGUGAAAUCCUGAGGCUCAACCUCAGAACUGCCU
rnacentral:rRNA from 1 species